CCAGAGUCUUCAUUAGUUGACUUCUCUGUCCGCUGCUUCCCCCAGCCGGUGGAGCUCACCCCCAAUAAAGGAAGGAAGGGGGUCUUUAUUUUUUUCUAAGGCCCCAAAGAGUCCAGUGUUUACAAGCCUAGAAAUGCUACGGCCAUGUCCAGGCAGAAAGAAAGGCUGAAAUGGAGGACCGACGCCUUCCUUAUAAGGUGUCUCUGGGGAAGAGGUCCAGGAAAGAAGGCCAAAUUGGGAUCAAAGGGGGCUUCACUCUGGACCCAGUGCCCACUUGAGGAUGACAAUGAACUUGGUUUUGCUCACUGGGGCCUGAGCCAGUACCAACCUGGUAGAAAAAGCAACCAUGAAGCCAGAGAGGGAAGAGAGCUCCAGACAGAGAUGAAACCACGCGGAGUAAUGCAGGGAAAGGAGGCGGCAGCCGGUCUCGGAACAAGUGUGGCAGAGAGCAAGACAGGCACUCACAGACAGAGGUUUACAUAUUUUUAUUAAUUUUUUUUUUUAAUUUGGGGCUUGAUGAAGAAAAGGGAAAAUUCAGAAGAGCGGAGAAGAGAGGGAAUUAUCCGAGUCCCAGCGUGAACGCCCCAGAAGGGGAGAAGACUGGAUACCGCGAGCGAGCAGCGGAAGCCGGAGCAGCACCCGGCGAGGGCUCUGGCUCCGACUCGGCCGGCCGCCCCUGCCCCACACGCUGUGGGCUGGCCCUCGGAGCCCCCCCUCGCGGCCGCCAGGGCUUCCGCGCUCUCCUUAUCAUCUCCAUCUUUAUGACGAGGCUUGUUAACAAGACCAGCGAGCUGGCCACGCACAUCUAUCUCAGCCGCUCACGCUCAGCCAAGCAGCGACCGGCGCGGGGACUGGCGAGGCACUAAUUAAUUGAUUCCUUUGGACAGUAAAAUAUGGCAGUGUCUACACGGAACCCAUAAACAAUAUCUCUGCGGGGUGUGAGUGCAUUGUCUUUCAAAGAAUUUUUCCAUAGGUGUGUGUCAGGUAGUCUCGGAUUUUUAGCUACUAAAGAAAGACCCAAGUGGGACUCAUUUUUCCGGGGCCAAAACAGAGUUCGCUCAGGGUCAGAAAAUGCUUUCGGCUAUUAUUGCCUCUCCAAAAGGGUUAGUGGAUUUUGUUGAGAAAAACUUGGGUUCCAGGGUAAACUUUCCCUGCUGCCGGUGUAGACCCGGCCAGCAUUAAGGAUGCCAACCGCUGCUGAGGAGCUAGGUGGGCUAGAAUCCUCUUCCUGGUUAGCUGAGAGGGAGUGGGGCUGCUCUGGGGUUUGAGAGGGACAUAGGAGACCAGGUCGGGCCUUUAUUUCAUGCGUCUUUCUCCACUGGAGAGUUUAAAAAUAAAUUAAAAAAAAUUUAAACAAACUUUGGCUUUCAGGAACCCUGAGUGCCCAGCAUACACCUAGAACUUGCCUUUCCCCCAACCUGCCUGUUACACAACUUGCCAGGUCACUGCACUUCCCUCUUCCCUCCCCAGCCCCCUUUCUUAACUGGCAGCCUAGAGUAAGUCUCUAAUAUAUUUAUCUUAGGUCUAGAAGAACAAGUCCUGAGACACAGGGGUAACCUAAUUAUAUAAUGCUCAUUCCAUACAGGCUGUGAUUAUGCAGUCAGACCCUACUGCAAACAGGACUUGGGAUUCUAAAUAUAGACCCUGACUUUGGCAAGAGAUGUACUAGGGAAACUGAGAUAGGAGACCACUUAUAUAAAUAAUCCAUAUAGACAUAGAAGGGGUUUUUUAAAAGAUGGAAAUAAUAGAAAAACAGAAAGACAGAAAAGAGGCUCAGCUGGUGGAGAUGGUUAUUGCCAAUGCCUGAGCUUCCUCCUGCUACUGUUUGUAAGAUAGCCAAAUAGAUGUGUAUUAUAAAUACAAUAAUAUGUGAGCUCAAAGAAUGUACUGCAAUGUAUUUGGUAUGCACACACCAUGCAAACAAACUAAUUUACAGAACAUAUUUUUUCAUACAUUGGGUAGAUACUCAAUUUGUGUAUAUGUAAUAAUAUGAUGUAUUUUCCAUGCGCUUUUUAUGUGGACACAUUAAUAUCUGCAUGCAUUUUCCAUGCAUGAUUUUAUACAGCUUAUGGAAUGGAUACAUCUAUGUAGCUAAAUCGAUGAGGACUGUAUAUUCCCUGUGUAGGAUAUAUAUGCAAGUGUACCGUUUAUGUAAAUGAAUCUUUACAAGUGGUGUUUAUCCAUGCUCUGUGUAACCUUUUCCCGGAAGGUUGCUUUCCCAUACAAAUAAAAGUGCCUCUGUA